rnacentral:rRNA from 1 species
CCAGACUCCUACGGGAGGCAGCAGUGGGGAAUAUUGGGCAAUGGGCGCAAGCCUGACCCAGCAACGCCGCGUGAAGGAAGAAGGCUUUCGGGUUGUAAACUUCUUUUGUCAGGGACGAAGCAAGUGACGGUACCUGACGAAUAAGCCACGGCCAACUACGUGCCAGCAGCCGCGGUAAUACGUAGGUGGCAAGCGUUAUCCGGAUUUAUUGGGUGUAAAGGGCGUGUAGGCGGGAAUGCAAGUCAGAUGUGAAAUCCGGGGGCUCAACCCCCGAACUGCAUUUGAAACUGUUGGUCUUGAGUAUCGGAGAGGCAGGCGGAAUUCCUAGUGUAGCGGUGAAAUGCGUAGAUAUUAGGAGGAACACCAGUGGCGAAGGCGGCCUGCUGGACGACAACUGACGGUGAGGCGCGAAAGCGUGGGGAGCAAACAGGAUUAGAUACCCGAGUACC